rnacentral:rRNA from 1 species
CCAGACUCCUACGGGAGGCAGCAGUGGGGAAUAUUGGGCAAUGGAGGCAACUCUUACCCAGCAAUGCCGCGUGAAUGAAGAAGGUCUUCGGAUUGUAAAGUUCUUUAAUUGGGGACGAAAAAAAUGACGGUACCUGACUAAGAAGCCCCGGCUAACUACGUGCCAGCAGCCGCGGUAAUACGUAGGGGGCAAGCGUUAUCCGGAUUUACUGGGUGUAAAGGGAGCGUAGACGGCUGCGCAGGUCUGAAGUGAAAGCCCGGGGCUCAACCCCGGGACUGCUUUGGAAACUGUGUAGCUAGAGUGCUGGAGAGGCAAGCGGAAUUCCUAGUGUAGCGGUGAAAUGCGUAGAUAUUAGGAAGAACACCAGUGGCGAAGGCGGCUUGCUGGACAGUAACUGACGUUGAGGCUCGAAAGCGUGGGGAGCAAACAGGAUUAGAUACCCCAGUACC